AUGUCACAGUUGUCUGUACCCGAUACCAACUGCUGGCUUCUCGCCUGCAUUAACCAGCCCCAGUUCUGGGCUGUCUUGGGGGAAAGUGAAACUGUGUGAGACGGUGGCCCAGUUUGAUGCUAGAAAGUUUGCAGAGUCAACCUAAAAAGGACACCCUACUGAAAGAGAAGGGUUCAUGGAAAGGGAAGCAGAAGUCCCAGGCCGAAGGGAAAGAGGAGAAAAAGGCAGCUGCCCCUGCUCCUGAGGAGGAGAUGCACGAAUGUGAGCAGGCCCUGGCUGCAGAGCCCAGGGCCGAGGACCCCUGUGAUCACUGGUCCAAGAGUACCUUUGUGUUGGAUGAAUUUAAGCGCAAGUACUCUAACGAGGACACACUUUCUGAGGCACUGCCAUAUUUUGGGGAGCACUUUGAUAAGGAUGGCUGGUCCCUGUGGUGCUCUGAGUACCACUUCCCUGAAGAGCUCACCCAGACCUUUAUCAGUCUCAAACUUAUCACUGGAAUGCUUCGGCAAUUGGACAAGCUAAGGAAGAAUGACUUUGCCAGUGUUCUUUGGAACCAACAAUAGCAACUCCAUUUCUGGAGUCUGGGUGUUCCAAAACCAGGAGCUUGCUUUUCUGCUGCGUCCAGAUUGGUAGGUGGACUACAAGUUACAUACAUCAUGGAACCUGGAUCCUGGCAGCAAGGAGUCCAGGUGCUGGUUUAAGAGUACAUUUCCUGGGAGAGGGCCUUUCAGCAUGUGGGCGAAGCCUUCGAUCAGGGCAAGAUAUUCAAGCACACAUCUCUUGCCAUUGUCUAGAUGCCUGUACCUGCCCUUCUGGGAGAUGGGGGUCAUUAAAGGAAACUAAACAUU